rfam:Oryza barthii chromosome 7, whole genome shotgun sequence.
ACAAACCCUAGUUUUGUGUGUCCAACUUUAGUUGACUGUCCGUCUUAUAUGAAAUUUUUUUAUAAUCGUAUUUUUAUUGUUGUUAGAUAAUAAAACAUGAUUAAUACUUUGUGCGUGACUUGUCUUUUAAAUUUUUUCUAUAAUUUUUUCAAAUAAGACGAACGGUCAAACAUUAGGCACGAAAACUAGGG